UGUUUUCAGUUUGGACUUUGG
ensembl:piRNA 21ur-4882 ncRNA